AGUGAACGCUGGCGGUAGGCCUAACACAUGCAAGUCGAACGGCAGCACAGUAAGAGCUUGCUCUUACGGGUGGCGAGUGGCGGACGGGUGAGGAAUACAUCGGAAUCUACUUUUUCGUGGGGGGUAACGUAGGGAAACUUACGCUAAUACCGCAUACGACCUACGGGUGAAAGCAGGGGAUCUUCGGACCUUGCGCGAUUGAAUGAGCCGAUGUCGGAUUAGCUAGUUGGCGGGGUAAAGGCCCACCAAGGCGACGAUCCGUAGCUGGUCUGAGAGGAUGAUCAGCCACACUGGAACUGAGACACGGUCCAGACUCCUACGGGGGGCAGCAGUGGGGAAUAUUGGACAAUGGGCGCAAGCCUGAUCCAGCCAUACCGCGUGGGUGAAGAAGGCCUUCGGGUUGUAAAGCCCUUUUGUUGGGAAAGAAAAGCAGCAGGUUAAUACCCCGCUGUUCUGACGGUACCCAAAGAAUAAGCACCGGCUAACUUCGUG
rnacentral:rRNA from 1 species